GAUGACUACAUCAUAAUGGGAAGGAUAAGGCGUUCCUCAAAAUGGAUGCCAUAAGUAAAGGGAAGCUGAAGCCUGAUUAACUUCGUCAGUGCCACAGGAAGAAACAAGAGACAGAAGGAAAAAGCACUUUGGAUGCCCGCUGUAAUUCACAGAGAUCUCCACGGUAGGAGCGGGACGUCAGCUUCUGCGGCUAAAAUCUCGUGACUGAAGCAGCACAGAUCAGAAAGAACGAUUUACCAGCAGCUGCAGACUACAUAAUGAAAAAUAACAAAAGUGCCCAUGCGCGAGGCUGUGCAACUAACCACCCGACGAUUGCGGGGAGGAGGAGUAAGAGUCGGCUAAGCGGCGCCCAGUGUCCUACUGCGCCUGUGCGCCGGUGGCGUGCGCAGAGGCCUCUGGGUAGGUGGCUCAACCCCGCCUCUCAGUUGAGGACUCUGAAGGCUGUUUCUGUGGCGCUUCCCCUGCGAGGAUGGCUACCCUGGUUGUAAACAAGCUCGGAGCGGGAGUAGACAGUGGCCGGCAGGGCAGCCGGGGGACAGCUGUAGUGAAGGUGCUAGAGUGUGGAGUUUGUGAA
rnacentral:lncRNA from 1 species